AUAAUCAAAGGAGCAAUCCGCUUUGAGAUGGACCCGCGGCGCAUUAGCUAGUUGGUGAGGUAACGGCUCACCAAGGCAACGAUGCGUAGCCGACCUGAGAGGGUGAUCGGCCACAUUGGAACUGAGACACGGUCCAGACUCCUACGGGAGGCAGCAGUGGGGAAUAUUGCGCAAUGGGGGAAACCCUGACGCAGCAACGCCGCGUGAGUGAUGAAGGUUUUCGGAUCGUAAAACUCUGUCUUUAGGGACGAUAAUGACGGUACCUAAGGAGGAAGCCACGGCUAACUACGUGCCAGCAGCCGCGGUAAUACGUAGGUGGCAAGCGUUGUCCGGAUUUACUGGGCGUAAAGAGUAUGUAGGUGGGUGCUUAAGUCAGAUGUGAAAUUCCCGGGCUCAACCUGGGAGCUGCAUUUGAAACUGGGCAUCUAGAGUGCAGGAGAGGAAAGUGGAAUUCCUAGUGUAGCGGUGAAAUGCGUAGAGAUUAGGAAGAACACCAGUGGCGAAGGCGACUUUCUGGACUGUAACUGACACUGAGAUACGAAAGCGUGGGUAGCAAACAGGAUUAGAU
rnacentral:rRNA from 1 species